UACGUAGGUGGCAAGCGUUGUCCGGAAUUAUUGGGCGUAAAGCGCGCGCAGGUGGUUCUUUAAGUCUGAUGUGAAAUCUCGCGGCUCAACCGCGAGCGGUCAUUGGAAACUGGGGAGCUUGAGUGCAGAAGAGGAAAGUGGAAUUCCACGUGUAGCGGUGAAAUGCGUAGAGAUGUGGAGGAACACCAGUGGCGAAGGCGACUUUCUGGUCUGUAACUGACACUGAGGCGCGAAAGCGUGGGGAGCGAACAGG
rnacentral:rRNA from 1 species